rnacentral:rRNA from 1 species
AUAUCCAUUAUGGAAAAUUCAACAUUAAUAUUAUAAUAUUUAUUUAUAAAUAUUAUAAAAAUAGUGUGCAAUUUUUCCAUAUAAGGACAUUGUAAUCUGUUAAUGUAAUAAAUAUUUAUCAUAAGAUUCAAUAAAUAAAAGUUUAUUCAAAUUAGUUAUUUUCCGAUUUCUAACAUAGAAUAAAUUUAAUUGAAUUUGAUAAAUCAUUGACAGAUUUAUUUAUAUAUAGUGCUUAAAUUCGUAAUUGAAUUUUACAAUAAUUUAUAAAUGUAUUUUCAUUUAUUUAUUUAAUGUAUGUACUUAUAUGAUUAACAAUGCUAUAGAUUCAGGAUACCUUCGGGACCCGUCUUGAAACACGGACCAAGGAGUCUAACAUAUGUGCAAGUCAUUGGGUAUUUUUAAUAAAACCCAAAGGCAUAAUUAACUUAACUGUUUUUAAUAUGGGAUUAAUUUAUAUUUUAUUAUGAAAUAUUAAUUCAAUCCCGGGGCGUUCUAUAUAGUUAUGUAUAAUAAUAUUUAUAUUAUUUAUGCCUCUAACUAGGGCGUACCUUGAGCAUAUAUGCUGUGACC